AGUAACGGCGAGUGAAGCGGUAGGAGCUCCGAUUGGAACGGUAGCAUCUUAAGUGUGAAAUCUGUAUUCUCGAGAGUCGUAGUCGUAAUUGGACCAAGAUCAAGUUCCUUGUAAUAUGGGCUCAAAGAGGGUGAAACUCCCGUCAUAGAGGGUGAGAAUCAGUGCUUUGUGAUACGCUCUGCACGAGUGGAGUUGUUUUUGAAUGAAUCUAGUAAUUGGGGAAAAAUUCUCUAAAAAGGUGGUUAAUGUGAUGAAAAGGUAAAUAAGCACCAGAGGCGAAGAAAACACAAGUAGCGUGAUGGAAAGAGAAAAAACUAUUUGGAAAGAGAGUUAAACAGUACGUGAAAUUGUUGAAACGGAAGAGUUGGCAUUCAGCCUUGGUUUUGCCUGGUGCAUUUUGAGUUUUAGCAGGCCCACUUCACAGCGCACAGUCCAUAAUCGGUUGAGGAAUGUGGAGAAAGGGGGAGGAAAGCCUCUCUCUUCGGGGAGUGUUAUAGCCUGAGGACCCCAGCAGCCCAGCAGGGCGGACGUUCGGGCACUUUGGCUAGGAGGAUGGUGUAAUAAUGGUAAUAAGCCCGUCGUCAUGCACACGCAAGAGGAGUCUAUCAAUCGAGAGUCGGGGGUACCCCCCAUAGGACAAAAAAGUGAAACAGAUGGUCCUCGCGGAGCAUCAUCGACCGAUCCUGAUUUCAGAAGUCU
rnacentral:rRNA from 1 species